GAUGAACGCUGGCGGCGUGCCUAAUACAUGCAAGUCGAGCGAACAGAUGAGGAGCUUGCUCCUCUGACGUUAGCGGCGGACGGGUGAGUAACACGUGGAUAACCUACCUAUAAGACUGGUAUAACUUCGGGAAACCGGAGCUAAUACCGGACAAUAUAUUGAACCGCAUGGUUCAAUAGUGAAAGACGGUUUUGCUGUCACUUAUAGAUGGAUCCGCGCCGCAUUAGCUAGUUGGUAAGGUAACGGCUUACCAAGGCAACGAUGCGUAGCCGACCUGAGAGGGUGAUCGGCCACACUGGAACUGAGACACGGUCCAGACUCCUACGGGAGGCAGCAGUAGGGAAUCUUCCGCAAUGGGCGAAAACCUGACGGAGCAACGCCGCGUGAGUGAUGAAGGUCUUCGGAUCGUAAAACUCUGUUAUUAGGGAAGAACAAAUGUGUAAGUAACUAUGCACGUCUUGACGGUAACUAAUCAGAAAGCCACGGCUAACUACGUG
rnacentral:rRNA from 1 species